UUGUAUCACCGGUUUCCGUACGAUCACCGAAGUUAAGCAACGUUGAUCUUGGUCAGUACCGAGAUGGGUGACUGUUUUUGAAUACCAGCUGCAGCAAG